rnacentral:lncRNA from 1 species
GCAGAGAUAUGAACACCUACUCUGCCCUACAACUCUUAUAACAGAUGAUGGAGAAUAAUAAGAAACAUGUAUCAACCUUUGAGAAUGUCCCCUUUGCCAGUCACUUUACCUUUCUGCAUCAGAUACAAGUGACCAGAAGAGAAACAUGUAUAGACAACCAUCCUUCAAAAAUGGAAGGUUGCAGCUAUAUGGCCAUGUUCGAGGAAGUUGAAGAGGAAACAAAUAAUGAAGUAUUCAAUAAAUGAAUAUUUCUAAAAAGCAGGCGAGCAUGGAGCUAAUAACUCAACACGAAAUUUUCCUUGGAAAAGGAGAAGUAAAUGAGAAGUAAGGGAUGAUGGAGGCCAUCAGUUAUUUUGAGGUGAUGAAACAGGUGGACAUGCAAGCGACUACUGAGAGUAUAUUGAUAUCUUCAUUAGGACACAAGACCUGCCUCAUAAUUUGGAUGGCCAAGUGCAGAACAAAAAUGAAGAGCCUAUAUUUCAAAAAUUAAGAAUUUCAGGAAGGUAACAACAGAACUUUAGGACUUUAAGCCAAAUGUGGGCCCUUUUGAGUUACUAUACCCCAAAUUAUUUCUUUUAAAUAAAUAAAUAAAUAGAUAGAUAAUUGAAAGAAUU